rnacentral:rRNA from 1 species
GACGAACGCUGGCGGCGUGCUUAACACAUGCAAGUCGAACGGAAAGGCCCUGCUUUUGUGGGGUGCUCGAGUGGCGAACGGGUGAGUAGCACGUGAGUAACCUGCCCUUGACUUUGGGAUAACUUCAGGAAACUGGGGCUAAUACCGGAUAGGAGCUCCUGCUGCAUGGUGGGGGUUGGAAAGUUUCGGCGGUUGGGGAUGGACUCGCGGCUUAUCAGCUUGUUGGUGGGGUAGUGGCUUACCAAGGCUUUGACGGGUAGCCGGCCUGAGAGGGUGACCGGCCCCAUUGGGACUGAGAUACGGCCCAGACUCCUACGGGAGGCAGCAGUGGGGAAUAUUGCACAAUGGGCGGAAGCCUGAUGCAGCAACGCCGCGUGCGGGAUGACGGCCUUCGGGUUGUAAACCGCUUUCGCCUGUGACGAAGCGUGAGUGACGGUAAUGGGUAAAGAAGCACCGGCUAACUACGUG